CGCUGCCAGACGCGCCUUUUUUCUCAAUGAGGUCAAAUGAAAACUGAGGCGCAAGCGCAAGAAUGAAUCAUGUACCUUCCUUUGCUCGCGCUCUCACGCAUGAGCACACAGUUCCGGACUGGGGGAAGAGGGGAGGUAGUCCUUGGGAUCCUUCCUUCCAUUCUGGUUCAAUGUGUUCUAUGAUGGCUAACAAAAUUGAUGUACAAUCUGCAGACUCUGCCUCAUGCAGGACAGGUGAUGUUUGAAGUAUCGAGAAGAUGAGUUACUUGGUGGGGGAGGCGGGUGCUUGUGCGUUCCUCCCACUGCCUGGAUUUGGCCUCCGCACGCUCUUGAUGUCUCUGAAGAUGCUUGGCGUCUUUGCUAGAAGUAGAAUACGAGAAGUAUACAAGAUGUAUAUGUAUAAGGGAUCCAAAACAAACCUCUAUAAGAAUGCUAAUAGCCAUUCUUUUUCAUUUAUCACCUCUUCAAGUCAGUGUCAAGCCAGUUUCAAUCUGGCAAGUUGCUUUGUCAUUUAUUUAAUUUUCUUAAUUUCAUUUAGUCCUACAAAUUUCUAGUGAACUCACUGGACAGCUCUAAUCCUCUAAUGAAGUGCUGAGCUGUUACCUCUGAAACAAAACUGAUCUCCUCACUUUUGCAUUCAUGUACCUAAAAUUCUAUAAGUUUCAUGCCAGUGCAGGCAUGAAUAUAUUAAUUUCUUUUUAAACUGUAUUCCUUUUAAAAUGGAUCUGAUGAACUGUAAAAUGGUCAUCAAGGGAUUAACUGACUUUUGCAACUUCAACAGCCUUGCAAACUUCUGGAAAGUUCCAAAUUGGAUCAUAAUGGGUAGGGGUCUCCCUUGAAUAGACAUGCCUAAACAGUACUAUUCUGUGGAUUUUUACACCUGCUAUUGUCAAGGCUUACUCCAAAAUUCAGGGAAAAUAAACUGCCAGACUCUCUGACUCUGGGUCUGUCAUGUAACAAAGGAGGGCUAUUGAGAUUUAGUAUCCACAACGAAGUGCUAAAGACCACCAUCUACUCUCUAUUGUAUAUCAAUGGUUUUUGACCAUGUGACUGAAACUCUGUCUUCACUUUAAAGGACCAUCAUUUGCCUUCCAUUGUGUAUCAAUGUCAUUCAUCAUGUGAUCGAAACUGCCCUUGAUCUUGAAAUCUUUUUAUCCAAAAACCGAGAGGCUGUGCAGUCUGCUGAGCAUCAGCAACAACAUUACAACUGCAACAAAAGGCUGUGUCAUCUUGCCUUUUCCAACCUGUUCUGAACAGCUCCGAGUUCAUCUGUAAGAAAUUGGGCAUCUGGUUACAACAGCCAUCAGGACCUGUCUACGUGACCUGCUGACCAAUCUUUACUUUGAACAAACACUGCAGUUAAUCCGGGUUUGAAACCAGGCAUAUGAAUUUAUCUGAACUUCAAUUCCAGAGUGAGAAAAGCUCCCUCCUUCACUGGACUUUCCAACAGACAUGAGCAGCUAACUAUUCUGUUUGCUUUUAAUAUUUGUAGAAGUGCAUUCUGUCUUAAUUUGUAUCUUUCUUGGGUGUAUAUUAUGUAUUUGACAUCACGUAGAGUUUCUGGGAUAAGUGUGUGAAUAAAUAAUACUCAUUGUUUAAUUCCAUGAAAGCCCGCUGCUGGUGACUUUUAAAUUGACUGCACACUAAUGGGGGUUUGGGAACACACAUCAGCCUUAUCAGAAUUAAGGGCAGAAGGGAAAGGGAAUUGGGAGUUUCAAUUUAUCUCUCUCCCCGGUCCAUAACCAAAGUGUUUUUCAGAUUAUUUUCCUCCUGGUUAGUUAUUAAUACUUUCUGGUUAGUUAAUCUAUAAUUUCCUGAUUCAUCUCUCACUGCCUUUUUGAAUAUUUGCAUAAUGUUCCAGUCUUCAGGCACAAUGCUGGUAUUUAAGAAGUUCUUAAUAUUAAUUAGAGUCCCAAUUAUUUCUCUGUCUACUUCCUUGAAAGUUCUAGGGUGUUUCUCACCUUAUCCAGUUACCUUGCAGAUAUGUUUAUUUUUUAAAAAGUCUUUACACAAUUUAGUUAGAUACUUGAUUACGAGAACUUCAACUAUUUUAGCAUCACUGGCCUAGCCUAAGAAGCCUGGAUCCUGCAGUUUUUUUAUUCCUUUAAUGAACUGUAUCACUGAGUCUUGGUGUGAGCGCAUUUUCUCAAUAAUGAACUUAAUAAAAAUUCUGAGCUGUGGAUAAUAACAUCACUCCUGGCAGCAGAGGCAUUAGUCUAAGAAUGAAGUUGCCAGACACUGAAAAGUUUGGCAGGAACAUGUUGCGACGAAUCAGUAAAUCAGUUCAUUGUGCAGCUUUGUAGCUCUCAGUUCUUUUGAAAACAAGACUGACUGAAGGCUGUUAAAUGACGUAGAUAAAACUGUUCAAUUGUAGCAGAUGAAGAAUGGAGUUCUCAAACAAGGAUUUGCAAUGCUUAGCACGAUAGUAUUUUUUCUUAUUGCAGAAAGAGUCCACUAUUUCAGUAUUUUGUGAGCUAUCAAUGAGGAGGUACAGUAAAAAUGUGAACUCAUAAAGAAUACUGAAUGGAAACCAUCUUUAAGCAAAAUAAGCAGAAGAAAUUUAUUGUUACUGACAUCAGGCUUCGUGGGGAUAGUAUUAGGAUACUGAACUUUCUUGCAUUCUGUAAUCAAAAAAAUAAACUUGUACUGUAACA